UACGUAGGGCGCAAGCGUUGUCCGGAAUUACUGGGCUUAAAGAGUUCGUAGGCGGCGCAGAAAGUAGGGUGUGAAAGCCCUCGGCUCAACCGAGGAAUUGCGCUCUAAACUACUGUGCUUGAGGAAUCUAGAGGUGAGCGGAACUGAUGGUGGAGCGGUGAAAUGCGUUGAUAUCAUCAGGAACACCGGUGGCGAAGGCGGAUCUCUGGGCCAUUACUGACGCUGGAGAAGCGAAAGCAUGGGGAGCGAACAGG
rnacentral:rRNA from 1 species